GCUCACUUUGGCAGAACAUAUUCUAAAAUUGGAAUGAUACAAAGAAGAUUAGCAUGGCCCCUGUGCAAGGAUGAUAUUCAAAUUUGUGAAGUGUUCCACAUUUUA